AGUGCGCGUUAACGGAUUGUUAA
rnacentral:siRNA from 1 species